AUGCUAAGGGAAUUCCAAGAGAGGAUGGCCUCUCACUGGUACUUGGAACUGGACCGAUCUACGGAGGCAGCAGUAGAAUUUGUCAUGGGCGCAGCUGAUCAGCAUGCGCGGUGCAGAAGACGCCUCCGGGUGGUAAACUGCUUUAAUACCGGAAUAAACUCUACGUGUAGGGAUCUGAAUGUACGGUAGGAAUAAAGGAUCGGCUACUCGUGCAGCAGCGCGGUAAUACGGAGGAUCCGAGCGUAUCCGGACUUAUUGGGUUUAAAGGGUGGCGUAGGCGGCCUGUUAAGUCAGGGGUGAAAGACGGUGGCUCAACCAUCGCAGUGCCCUUGAUACUGACGGGCUUGAAUUAACUAGAGGCAGGCGGAAUGUGACAAGUAGCGGUGAAAUGCAUAGAUAUGUCACAGAACACCGAUUGCGAAGGCAGCUUGCUAUGGUUCUAUUGACGCUGAGGCACGAAAGCGUGGGGAUCAAACAGGAUUAGAUACCCUGGUAGUCCACGCCCUAAACGAUGAACACUCGCUGUUGGCGAUAUACGGUCAGCGGCUAAGCGAAAGCGUUAAGUGUUCCACCUGGGGAGUACGCCCGCAAGGGUGAAACUCAAAGGAAUUGACGGGGGCCCGCACAAGCGGAGGAGCAUGUGGUUUAAUUCGAUGAUACGCGAGGAACCUUACCCGGGCUUGAAAGUUAGUGAAUAACCUAGAGAUAGGUUAGUGAGCAAUCACACGAAACUAGGUGCUGCAUGGCUGUCGUCAGCUCGUGCCGUGAGGUGUUGGGUUAAGUCCCGCAACGAGCGCAACCCCUAUGUCUAGUUGCCAGCAUGUAAUGGUGGGGACUCUAGACAGACUGCCUGUGCAAACAGAGAGGAAGGAGGGGACGACGUCAAGUCAUCAUGGCCCUUACGUCCGGGGCUACACACGUGCUACAAUGGUCGGUACAGAGGGCAGCUAUCCAGCAAUGGAAUGCCAAUCUCAAAAAGCCGAUCACAGUUCGGAUAGAGGUCUGCAACUCGACCUCUUGAAGUUGGAUUCGCUAGUAAUCGCGUAUCAGCAAUGACGCGGUGAAUACGUUCCCGGGCCUUGUACACACCGCCCGUCAAGCCAUGGAAGCUGGGGGUACCUAAAGUACGUAGCCGCAAGGAGCGUCCUAGGGUAAAACCGGUAACUGGGGCUAAGUCGUAACAAGGUAACCA
rnacentral:rRNA from 1 species